rnacentral:rRNA from 1 species
UACGGAGGGUGCGAGCGUUGUCCGGAAUCAUUGGGCGUAAAGGGCGCGUAGGUGGCCCGGUAAGCGUGCGGUGAAAGCUUGGGGCUCAACCCCGAGUCGGCCGUGCGAACUGCUGGGCUUGAGCACUGUAGAGGCAGGCGGAAUUCCGGGUGUAGCGGUGGAAUGCGUAGAGAUCCGGAAGAACACCGGUGACGAAGGCGGCCUGCUGGGCAGUAGCUGACACUGAGGCGCGACAGCGUGGGGAGCAAACAGG